CGCUUCUCCCGUCUGGGGGGAAAAAACGGGAGA
rnacentral:tRNA from 2 species